GACGAAGGUGGCAACCGUUGUUCGGAAUCACUGGGCAUAAAGAGCACGUAGGCGGGCAAGAAAGUCGGGUGUGAAAUCCCUCGGCCUAACCGAGGAACUGCGCCCGAAACUUCUUGUCUUGAGGACAGGAGAGGAGCGUGGAAUUCCUGGUGGAGCGGUGAAAUGCGUUGAUAUCAGGAGGAACACCGGCGGCGAAGGCGACGCUCUGGCCUGUUUCUGACGCUAAGGUGCGAAAGCCAGGGGAGCAAACGGG
rnacentral:rRNA from 1 species